ACAGCACAAUCAGCUCUGACGGCCAUCUUGAAACGGUCCUGUGGUGGUCUGAUCAGCAUCUUGAUUGUUUUAAGUGCAGUUAGUCUUCAGUUCCAGGGUUGUUUUUUCCAUUUCCUUGAGGCCAAUUCUUGGAACGGUGUGUUUAUGUCACGGCUACCGUUUGGUCAUCGUGUCGUUAACUUCUUCCACCUGGUAGGGUUUUCAGUAUCUAUGAGACGACUCACGGGAAUCUGAGAAGCUAAGCAGAUCUUUUGCUGUCUUGGAGCUAAGGGACAAGAAAACGUGGAGUAGACGAAUGACCAUGAAGAAGGUGCUCCAUUAACAGGCUCCUGCUAAUCCAGUCAUCACUGGUCAGCAACAGAUGAGUAUUCGAUCCAUGGAAUGUCAAUUGAAGCCCUUAGGUUGAAAUUUUCAAUUUGGUGCCAAAACGAUUAUUCUCUUGUGGUGAAGCUGAUCAGAAAGAAUGAAGACAACAUAUAGGAAGAAGCAGAGAUGAGAAUUGGAAAUGGGGUACAGUUUGCCUUGAUUUCUCAGUUCUGGUGCCAUUGAGCUUUUACCAAUUCCCUUCCUAUACUUAAUAAACCCAGUAAAUUCUCCUUUUACCUAAGGAGUUUGGAAUGAAUUUUGACAUUUUCUACCAAAUGGUUCCUAAUUCUAUCUGGAUUGUAAUUAUUAUUCUCUAGCUAUGUAC